ACCUGCGCUACUGCACUAAUAGCCUUGACAGAGCACUAGGGCCGGCUCGACAGGGCAUGCAGCCCGCCGGUGGACGCCUGAAUGUGCGCGACGGAGAUGAACCCCGCGUCGUCGCCUCUGUAGCCUGGACAGAGCUCCGCCAGUGCUCGUGAUGAACCCCAUGUAUGUGCUGGUGAUGGCGCUCUCCGUCUACUUUCUCCACCGGCUAUCAGAGAGUAGAGAUCACAUUGUGGAUUUGUGCUUUCUUCAGAGAUGUGCUCCUGUCGUUGUUGGUUGUCAAAUUUGUGAUGCAAUCCGUCCCUAUGUCGAUGUCUUAACCACUUCGUACUACCGCACAAUUAGCAGAACAGAGCAGAUGCCGCAGUUUACCCAUUGAUUUCUUGGAGUGAUUCAAACCUAGGAAAGCCUGCUACUUGUGCAAGCAACAGGGUAAGAAGUUUCACUUUUCUUACUAAUGCACCUCAAUUUGUAAGGUUAGAACAAUGUCAGAUUACUUUAUGUUGGUUUUCAAAUUUCUACAUAUUCCUUUCUUACAGACUUUGCCUUCAAGCAAUUCUAAUUAUCUAGGUAGUAUGGAAAGCAGGCAAAUUAUGUAUCUAUUUGGGUGUACUCGUGCUCUGCUAUGUCAAAUUGAGGAGAAAUAAUUAUUUUAUUCACCCAUCCUAUUUUUUAUCUAUAAUGAUGAUCAUUUUUCCAUGUUGUGAUCUUUGCUCCAGUUGUGCUAAUACCAUGUUUAUCAUGUUUACCAUGUUUUAUCUUAAAAAUUGGCUUCUAUUUUGUUUCUAACCUAUAUCUCAGCAUGGUUACUUUCUCCAAACAUGCUUUAGCUGCAGCAUUGGUCAACUGGCUUGAGCACAGCUCACAUGAGUCAUCGCCAAAUGACCCUUUUCUGAAAUUCACUGAGAGAGGAGUUACUCCAUGUAACAAGCAACUGAAGCAAGGGAAAGAAUGAGCCCCUGAACCCAGGAUGCAUGGCGAAGGAUCCAAUAUGUCAGGACCAAUGAGGGAAUUGCAGAGCUUCAUAUACAUUUGCCUUCUUCAAGUGUCUAGAUUACAUGAAACAUGUUUCUUCAAGUGUCUACACACUACAGGAAAUAAGUUUCUUAUGGAAGUAGUCAAACCUGGAUACCAAUUCAUUGGAACCAUUAUAUUCCUUAUAGAAGUAAUGCAAUAUAUUCUCUCUCU